AUGGCCAUUGCCGAUAGCGGGAGGGGCAAGUCGAAGCCCGCCGCCAGCACGAAGUCCGUGUCUCGGUCAUCCAUGGCCGGCCUCCAAAUUCCCGUCAGCCGCAUCACCAGGUACCUUAGGGGCGGCAAUUACGCACAAUACAUCAGUACCGGCGCCCUCGUCUACCUCGUCACCGAGGUAGACAUUCCCCCAGCUCCUCCUCUCCUCGUUUCUCUGUUCUCGCGCGCACGGUUCCUCGCGCCUGCUGGCAACACGACGCGGGACAACAAGAAGAACCGGAUCAUGCCGCGGCACAUCCAGCCAGCGAUGUGCAACGAUGAGGAGUUGAGUCAGUUGUUGUGCGCGUUCACCAUCGCCGACGACGGGCUGAUGCCCGACAUCCACACCGUGCUCCUCCCCAAGAAGGCCGACAAGGCUAAGGACGACAUCCACCGGCAAGCAUCCUAG
rnacentral:rRNA from 1 species